rnacentral:rRNA from 1 species
AGUGAACGCUGGCGGUAGGCCUAACACAUGCAAGUCGAACGGCAGCACAGUAAGAGCUUGCUCUUACGGGUGGCGAGUGGCGGACGGGUGAGGAAUACAUCGGAAUCUACUUUUUCGUGGGGGAUAACGUAGGGAAACUUACGCUAAUACCGCAUACGACCUACGGGUGAAAGCAGGGGAUCUUCGGACCUUGCGCGAUUGAAUGAGCCGAUGUCGGAUUAGCUAGUUGGCGGGGUGAAGGCCCACCAAGGCGACGAUCCGUAGCUGGUCUGAGAGGAUGAUCAGCAACACUGGAACUGAGACACGGUCCAGACUCCUAAGGGAGGCAGCAGUGGGGAAUAUUGGACAAUGGGAGCAAGCCUGAUCCAGCCAUACCGCGUGGGUGAAGAAGGCCUUCGGGUUGUAAAGCCCUUUUGUUGGGAAAGAAAAGCAGCAGGUUAAUACCCCGCUGUUCUGACGGUACCCAAAGAAUAAGCACCGGCUAACUUCGUG